rnacentral:rRNA from 1 species
UACAGAGGUCCCAAGCGUUGUCCGGAGUUACUGGGCGUAAAGCGCACGCAGGCGGUCUGCUAAGUUUGGAGUGACAGUUGGUGGCUUAACUGCCAAAGUGCUUCGAAAACUGACAGACUUGAGGGCUUCAGAGGGACACGGAAUUCCGGGUGGAGUGGUGAAAUGCGUAGAGAUCCGGAGGAACACCAAAGGCGAAGGCAGUGUCCUGGGGAGUACCUGACGCUCAGGUGCGAAAGCCAGGGGAGCGAACGGG